rnacentral:lncRNA from 1 species
GAUUUCCUGGGCUAAGCAGCCUUUCUGCCUCAGUCUCCAGUCUGCUGGGACUACAGGCGUGCACCACUGUGUGUGGCUUUACCUGAUGAUUAACAGAAGUAAUAUUUUACUAAUGGUGAACUGGGUGCAUUCUGUUGUUUCCCUCCUUUUCUUCAAACUCUAGGGACUUAAUAUAUUCAUAAAUGUGUUAAACAACAAGAUGAAUUCUCAGAGAUUGUGAGAAAGUUCUGACUAAAAUCAGCUGAGACUGAAUUGAAGGGGUAAUGCAGUCUAGUGUACAUCUGCGAAUCCAACAAAUCCAACAUAUAUUGCUGCCACAAGAAGUAGGAGCUGGGCAUAGUGGUAUAUAUUCCUGUAAUCCCAGUGAUUUGGGAAGUUGAGGCAGGAGGAUUGCAAGUUUGAG